rnacentral:rRNA from 1 species
AGGACAUAGUGAUCCGGUGGUUCUGAAUGGAAGGGCCAUCGCUCAACGGAUAAAAGGUACUCUGGGGAUAACAGGCUGAUACCGCCCAAGAGUUCAUAUCGACGGCGGUGUUUGGCACCUCGAUGUCGGCUCAUCUCAUCCUGGGGCUGUAGCCGGUCCCAAGGGUAUGGCUGUUCGCCAUUUAAAGAGGUACGUGAGCUGGGUUUAAAACGUCGUGAGACAGUUUGGUCCCUAUCUGCCGUGGGCGUUGGAUACUUGACGGAGCCUGCUCCUAGUACGAGAGGACCGGAGUGGACGUACCUCUGGUGUACCGGUUGUCAUGCCAAUGGCAUUGCCGGGUAGCUAAGUACGGAAGAGAUAACCGCUGAAGGCAUCUAAGCGGGAAACUCGUCUGAAGAUUAGGUAUCCCGGGGACU